rnacentral:misc_RNA from 1 species
AAACAUUACAACAUCAGAUUAUACAGAGUUUCCACACCAAUUCCCAAGGAAUAUAAUUGUGGAAAAUCUUUAUUUAUCACGAAAACAACAAAAAGAAAGAAGUAACAACAGAAACUUUAAUCCAUAAUUCUGACUCCAGAUUUGUCCCUCACUCCAGAGCUGCUAUUCUGAUCCAGCUAUUGCUAUGCAUAGACUUCCUGCACAUUACAUCUUAGACUGCAUCUCUGUUUGGC